GACGAACGCUGGCGGCGUGCUUAACACAUGCAAGUCGAACGAGUGGCGAACGGGUGAGUAACACGUGGGAACCUACCCAUCAGAGGGGGAUAACACUUGGAAACGGUAGCUAAUACCGCAUACCAUCAGAUGUGCCCAGAUGGGAUUAGCUUGUUGGUGGGGUAACGGCUCACCAAGGCGACGAUCCCUAGCUGGUCUGAGAGGAUGACCAGCCACACUGGAACUGAGACACGGUCCAGACUCCUACGGGAGGCAGCAGUGGGGAAUAUUGCACAAUGGGCGCAAGCCUGAUGCAGCCAUGCCGCGUGUAUGAAGAAGGCCUUCGGGUUGUAAAGUACUUUCAGCGGGGAGGCGUUACCCGCAGAAGAAGCACCGGCUAACUCCGUGCCAGCAGCCGCGGUAAUAC
rnacentral:rRNA from 1 species